rnacentral:rRNA from 1 species
AUGGCAUUAUAUGCCUUGGUCAUAUUCUAUCACUUGUUUGCCAAGGAGUUGGUAGCUCACAAGCCUCUUGCUAUGUUUUUGUGCAUGAAAGGGAUUGUCUUGUCUUUCUCGCUGGUAAACCACUUCCUCUCCUGGCGUAAAGACUUCUGA